rnacentral:rRNA from 1 species
CGUGUAGGCGGACUCGCAAGUCGGUUGUGAAAUCCCUGGGCCCAACCUAGGAACUGCAUCCGAAACUGCUUGUCUUGAGUAAUGGAGAGGGUGGCGGAAUUCCCGGUGUAGAGGUGAAAUUCGUAGAUAUCGGGAGGAACAUCAGUGGCGAAGGCGGCCACCUGGACAUUUACUGACGCUGAGACGCGAAAGCGUGGGGAGCAAACAGGAUUAGAUACCCUGGUAGUCC